rnacentral:lncRNA from 1 species
AAAAUUCUAUCUUGCACAAACAAUGCACAACACGUGACAAAAAAAAAAAAAAACCACUCAAAAAGAAAUCUUUUGUUUUUAAAUUGGAUUAUAAUAUGUUAAUAUUUUUUUAAUAAUUUUUUUGACAAUAAAUUACAUGUCAUUAUUUUAUUGAUCCGUAGGUUUAAAAUGGACUAAUAACAAAUUACCUACAUAGACUGUUAUAAAAGAGUUGUUAGAAAAAG